AACGUAGGAGACAAACGUUAUCCGGAAUUAUUGGGCGUAAAGGGCGCGUAGGCGGCUUGGCAAGUGGAAGGUGAAAUCCCUCGGCUUAACCGAGGAACUGCCCUCCAAACUGCUUCGCUUGAGACCGGGAGAGGUGAGUGGAAUUCCCAGUGUAGCGGUGAAAUGCGUAGAUAUUGGGAGGAACACCAGUGGCGAAGGCGGCUCACUGGACCGGUACUGACGCUGAUGCGCGAAAGCGUGGGGAGCAAACGGG
rnacentral:rRNA from 1 species